CCCAGGUACAGAAGAUCGAGCAGAAAUACGAGAUGCAAGCAGAUAAGAUGAUGAGAGCAGCAGCAAAGGAUGUGCACAGGUUACGAGGGCAGAGCAGCAAGGAGCCUUUGGAGGUGCAGUCAUUCAGAGAGAAGAUGGCAUUUUUCACUCGGCCCAAGAACGAACCUACCUACACUCACAGCAGAUGAUGUUUAUAAUCAUCAUAAAGUAUUUUAUGUUCUAUAUUUUUUUCGGUUCUGAGCACCAUGGCAAAGGAAAUGCAGCCUGGUGAAGCUGAAAAUGUAAUUGUGUGGUGUAAUGAAGUUACAGAGUUUCAUGUCACUUAUUAUUUUGCAUUGCAAUAACCAGCAGAGUAACACUGGCUUGAGGUACGACAACACAAGUGGACAUUUUUAUUUUUAUCGUCGUGAUUACAAAACCAGCAUUCCUUUUCCACGUCUGUAUAGCUUGUAUAUUUAGAGCUGUAUUUUCAGAUGAACCGUUUCAGAUGUUGUGUGUGUGCAAUGUAUAACUUUUGUACAGUCCGCUUCAGAGAUUUGUAAUGCAAUAAAUUCUAUUAAAAUGGGCUACUAGAAAAAGGAAUACUUACAGAUUCACGCAACUUUUUGGACAUUAACUAUUUUGUAUCGGAUGUUUUAGCAAAUUCGUGCUAUAUCAUAAUGCUAAAUAGACAAUUUUAUGAUAUAAUACAGUUUGGAAUAUAUUUUGAAAUGCACUUACCACAUUGUGGCCCCCAUGGAAAGACAAAUGAAGAAAAAAAAAUCAGUUACCGGUUCCUUAAAUUGGUCUAAAAUAUUAUGUGAUGAACAUUUUAGUGGUGCAUAGUUACGGUCAAAUGCAAU